UAGCUCAGUUGGUAGAGCAUGGUGUUUGACACACCAGGGUUGUGGGUUCGAUUCCCAC
rnacentral:tRNA from 1 species